rnacentral:lncRNA from 1 species
UUUGCCUUUCUGGGUUACAAAAGAAAAGGAGAUCUAACUGCUAUUAGUAGUCUUAUCUCUGAUUGACCUUGAUAAAGGUCAUCUUUAAAAGAGCAGCUUCAGGUUCACCUUAGAGCAAAAACAAUGUUCUCUUAUUACUGCACGUGCUUACAGCUGCACAAAGGUAGCCCAGGUCUUUCCAGAGAAAAACUGCAUGAUUUUGAGCCAUCCAUGAAACGACAGGAAAGUCUUGCAAAAUUUAGCUUAACAUUGGCUUACGUGGCAGUCAGAUUACCCUGCCAUAUAAAGCAAGUUCUGCCUUACUCUUCUGCCAGCCUUAAAAGUUCAUAGAAGUGGUUCACUUUCCCAGGAAAGUAGCUAUGUUUUUUAGUAAAGUCCUCCAGGUUAACAGAAGCCUUUACACAAACUAUGCUAUUCAGUGCACAAGAGUUGCUAAUUUUUUCUUUACCUGUUAAGCUGAGCCACACAUAAAAGGUAAUUUCUGAAAUUGAUUUAGCAUCAGUGGUCUUGAUGUAAGAUCAAGUUUGUAGUUAAUGCUCUCCUCCAAACAAACUCUUAGAAGCACAAUAUAUUUUUGUUGAAUAACUUCAAAGCUUCCUACUAGCAACAAGGGCAACGAGAUGUAUGUACUUUUAUCACUGAGAUUCAACCCAAGGUACUUUGUACAAGUGUUUUAUUUAGACUUAGGGAAUUGCACUUUGUAGUAUAAUGCUGUUAGUUACCAACCACUCAAAGAAUGUGCUUAGUGUCAUUGGAAAAGGGAAGAGUUUUAGAUUUUACUCUACAUUUAGAAAGGUAGCAAAUUGGAAUAAAGGUUAGCUUGCUUGUUUAGCUUAACUAUCCUGAAAUCUUGGAGAGUCAGAGGGUUUUUCCAAGUGGCAGGGAUCUCAAUGCUAUGUAAGAUGGCAGCAGGAAUAUCAGACCUCAAUAGGGUGCUGUGGUCAAUAUAUUUACGCUACUCCAACAGAGUAGAUUGUUCAUCACCAGCUUGAACGCUGAAAGGCAACAUGCAGAAGUUUUGCAAAAAGGACACACGCUCCAGCUCUACUAAGUGAGCAAAGUAAUGCUGGAGAUGAUGAACCCUUGAUAUACUGUUAGACAUUUUCUGAAUUUUACUCUGUGAUUUGACCGUUGCUUCUUGAACAGGUGAAACUCAAAAGGCAGCAUCUUUUACAUUAAUGCUCAUCUUUUACAUUAAAUAUUGGAAGCAAAUAAAAUUCAUUGCCUUAAUAAAACAUUCUCAAGAUUCACUCCUUGCAUGCCUACAAGCUUAGAUUUCUUCAAAUCAUUAAGGUUCAAAAUCAGACCCCCAGAUGUGUAUGGUUCAAUCGAAACUCAGUACUAACCUCACUGAAUGAAAAAGAAGGCAGGGGGCACAGGAGGAGAAAUCAAACUAUAGAAAUACCAAAGUUAAGAAACAGUUGGCAUGUUCAAUCCCUACAAGAAGAGACAAGCCAUUUUUAAUUUAAGCUUCUAGUGGUUGGAUAUUUCUGAGAAACUUUAUUACAUCAGCUUUGCUUUUGUUAAAGUAGCUGCUGCAAUUCAAUUCCACGGUACAGCUAAAACAACUACCAUCUUUGGUGCAGUUCAAAGCCAAGAGAAGCAGAAAUUAGUCAAGUAAGCCUAAUUUGCAUUGCAGUGACCAUCCCAACGCAGAGAGUUCUGAGAACUGUAAGAUUCUCCCUCAACUCUUGGAGAAUACAGAUGCUAUAACUGGGAUGUCCUUUCAGACUGCAUUUCUAUCUCAUCCACUGCAGUUGAUCUGUUUUACAGAAACAGCUUAUAUAGGCAGGUGAAACAGGACUGAAAAAAAGCAUACAACUGCAGUUAGUUUCUGCAAUACUCCAUGGGGUUUCUCGGCCCUCCCCUGGGAACAAUGAAAGCCUAUUUUGUUGCUGUUUCACAAUUCUAAUUCCUGAAGUGUAGAAAGGCCUAUUUUUUUACUUUUCACUUUGGGAAGUAUCUGAGGCAUUUGCCGCUGUGAAAUGAAGCUUAUAUAUGCAGUAGUAAACAGACACUAAGCACUCUGUUUCUCAUUUAUUUCAGGCAAUGACAGUGGUAGAAUUUUAACCCUCACAUGGGAUGAGGGUACAGCCAAUAAUGACACCAUAUAGAGUUUGUUUUCCACAUAGUCAAAUAUAUAAAAGUUUCAUGAAACUCAUCACUGGACAGCCAGCGAAGUCAGUCCAUGAGCUGUCUACUGAGUUAAACCAAGCUUCUUCUUCAGAGAUUCCGGCAUUUCAGGUGGAGGUGGACGAGGAAGUCUGAAAUAAACCUUCACAGAAUCGUAGAUGAACCACUGUAGCGCAGUCAGCGUACCAAUCAUGAUGAUACGAGCAAACAGACCUUUCCAGACACCUCUGAAUCCAAGCCUCUUAAGAACCUGUGAAGCAGAACUGCCCUUUUCUUUGUUCAACACAGACACGACGGAGUCAGCAGGAUGAGAAACAAUUGCACAGAAGACACCAGCAAUAUAGCCUGCAAUAAAUGUGACUACCAGCUGUUCGCCUUUUGAACAUUCACUUCGUGGCUUGGGAACAACAUACUUGUAGAGAGCUUCAACAGUACGUUCAAAGCAGGCAAAUUUCAUCAUCGUGUAUGGGAUCUGUCUCAUCCAGAGCGGAGCUACACCUUUAUAGAAAGCCCAAAUGCCUUCUUCUCCAAACAUUUUAGGUACAGCUUGCCGUAGAGUGUUGGCGUAUCCAGGCUGUGUCUGAAUGCGAACUUUAGCAGCUUCCAUUGGAGCCAGAGCAAUGUCAGCAAAAAACUCUGCACUGGCAGAUGCAGCUAAAUAUAAUGAAGUACGCCACAAAUAGGCAUUUUCCUCCCCCAGCAUGUUGCCAUACAGGAUUUUGAAAACUUCAUAGAAACCAAAUUUACAAAGCCCCUGCAUGGAGUAUCCAAUAAAGGUUGGAGCCCAUCCCUUAGCCAAACCACGAAAUCCAUCUUCUUUGAUUGUCACUGAAAAUCCAUUGAAGAUGCUCUUGUAUUUUUGUGGAUCAACCUGCAUACGACAUUUCACUAAAUCCAGAGGUACGACAGCAGUGUGUGUCAGGCCACAACUUAGGACCCCACCAACGCCACAGAGAGCAUAAAACUUGAGCGAGCCAUAUUCACAACUGUAUUCUUCGGUGGCGGACGCGGCCGCCAGGCUUCGCCGCGUGGUGGGCGCUUCGGCCGGCUCCGCGCGCCUCCUCAGCCCAUCCUGGCACAGCUGGAAGUGCGGCGCGUAGAAGGGGUUGAGCCGCGCGAGCGGCGCGAUGGACGAGAACAUGGCGACCUCCUAAGAUGGCGGCGGGCGCGCAGCGCUGCUCGGGCCGCAGCUGUGCGCAGAGGCUGACCGCGGGCCCGGCGCGGUGACUUUGUCCUUCGCCGACGCAAGGGGCGGAGCCACGGGCCAAGAAGCCGCGAGGCGAUUGGCGGAGGCUCCCCGCGAGCCGGUGCCGCCGCGCACGCGCGGUCCACGCCAACGCCCUUCCUUCUCGCCGUGGGGGAGGGGGGCGGCUGUCGCUGAGCGGAGGGCGGAGUUCCCCGCCUCGUACGGAGCGCCGCGAGGUUGCGUAUGUCUCACUUGGAAAAAAAAGUACAGGCGAGAAAAGAGCCGUGGCUCCUGUGCGUGUGACCGCUGCCCUGGAAAAGUUCCUCCCUGUGGGAAAGCAGCCGUACCUCUGUCGCCGCCGCCCUCAGCCGUGCGCCGAGCGGCUCUUCCCGCUCCGCGGCUGCGGGCUCCUCCGCGUGCCUGCACGCAGCCCCAAGCGAUGGCAACCGAAAGGCACGCCCAGCUCCGCCCGUGACAGGCGCCAGAAGCAUUACCUGCGUGACCGCAGCCUGCAGGCUGGGGCCGGGCGCUACUUGUUCCAGGCCAAGUGCAAUUUCUGCUUUUAAGCGUGCGCUGCUUUCAGGCGAAGUUCGAAGAAGUGAUUGGUAGUGCUCUGAAUUGCAUCUCUUGUUAAAUAGCAUUGCUACUUGCUCUUUGCCAAGAGGCUUCGCUCAGCAGCACAGCUUUGUACCUCCUUCAGUAACACAGACACAGCAGACAGCAAAGCAGAAGGCAUGCACUGAAUGUCCUAUGUUAGAAAAGGGCUCAGAGCAGUUACACAACUAACAGCACACCUAUUCAGCAAUGCAGAAGAAAUGUAUCUUCAUAGAAUCAUAGAAUUACUCAGGUUAGAAAGGACCUCAAAGAUCAUCAAGUCCAACCGCAGCCUAACCAUAGUACCCUAACUCUAACAACCCUCUGCUAAAUCGUAUCUCUGAGCACUACAUCCAAA